UACGUGGGGUGCAAGCGUUAAUCGGAAUUACUGGGCGUAAAGCGUGCGCAGGCGGUGAUGUAAGACAGAUGUGAAAUCCCCGGGCUCAACCUGGGAACUGCAUUUGUGACUGCAUCGCUGGAGUGCGGCAGAGGGGGAUGGAAUUCCGCGUGUAGCAGUGAAAUGCGUAGAUAUGCGGAGGAACACCGAUGGCGAAGGCAAUCCCCUGGGCCUGCACUGACGCUCAUGCACGAAAGCGUGGGGAGCAAACAGG
rnacentral:rRNA from 1 species